GCAAAUUUCAUUUCAUUUACUUUUCUCUUUAUAAUUUUUAUGUCACAUUCGCACAUGCACUAACCAAAUAGUCAGCAUAAAUCAACGCUUUCGCUUAAUACUUUUGAAAUAAUAUUUUCUUAAGAGCACUUAAAAUAAGUAAUUAUCGUCAACGAGUGUUUAAUAUAUUAGUACAUUAUUUGUUUUCAGUUAUUGUGCUUCAGGGCUGGCCAUUUUCAAGGCGUGUUCGAUUGUGUGAAAUUGUAUCUAAUGUUAACCAAACAUGCAUAUUAUUUGCGCUGCCGCGUCUGGCAACACACCCUAAUGUUAUGGUAUCAGGUUCGAACUAGGAGGAUGGUGGAAAUAGAGGAAAAGCUCAACAAUUUACUGAAAUUGAUCUGUCAACUUAAAAUUGAGUAUGCUUUGAUGAAAGAACCGGCAGCUAAAAUGUCUAAAAGCUACAAAGUCGCUGAUUAUUUUAAUCAACUAGUAAGGGCAGAUGAAAUUAGAAUGGCAAGAAAAAGAGCUAAGACACCAGUUAAAGAAACACAAACAGUAACAGAAAUAGUUCAGGAAGAGCCAAAUACUCCAAAAGGACCGGUGCGUGGUAUUCCCACAGAAACAGUUCAGGAACAGCGAAAUACUCGAAGAAGACCGGUGCGUGGUCUUCCCACAAUAACAGAAACAGUUGAGGAACAACCAAAUACUCGAAGAAGACCGGUGCGUGGUCUUCCCACAAUAACCGAAACAGUUGAGGAACAACCAAAUACUCGAAGAAGACCGAUGCGUGGUAUUCCCACAGUAACAGAAAUAGUUCAGGAACAGCCAAAUACUCGAAGAGGACCGGUACGUGGUAUUGCCACAGAUAACGUGCACAUUUGUACCGGUGCAUCGGAUGACGAAACAGGAUUCUCGCUAAGGAGUAUGGAAAAUAUUAAAACAACUCGAAGGAUAAACAGGAAAAGAAAUAAGUUACGCAAUACUGACAAAAAUGGCAAAUUUUUUAAAGCUGAGCAAAAGAGUAACAAAAUAUCAAAGGCACCACAAUUAAAAAAAGAGACACACCACCAAAGCAAACAAGAUCUAGAUUCGUCCGAACUAGAAACUUUGGACCUUUUAAUAAGGUGCUCCAAGUUCGCAGAGGAAAAUAUAUUAGAAUCUCAAGAGAGAUAUAUGAAUGACCUCAUGAGUUUCUUCGAUUCAAACCAGCUUGUGAUAAACGGUGUAGAGUGGGUUACGAUUGGCGCAAUGAAGACGGUAGUAAGAAAGAAAGCUUUAUGUGAAAUGAAUUGGUUUGGAUGUCCUGCUAUUAUAGUAGAAAAUUUAUUGGAGGAAGUUUUCGGGGUUAAAAGGCUUGAAACGCUUGAUAUUGGCACCGUAGAUUAUAAUGCCAUUUCAGAUAUUAUAGACCUCAUGCAACAAACAACAUCGUUAGAGAUUCGCGACAUCAUCAGAGCCAUUAGAGAUAAAUUUGCGGAACUUGAAAGAAAUCGUCAAAGGAGGGAACUCAGAAAACAACUUAAAAAUAAAUAUUGGAGGAGAUAAAAGCAAAUGGCUAAACACGGCACCAGAAAAAUAUAGACGAAGCUAGCGCAAGCUACCACCAGCAAUUGCAGCAAAAAGUGUCUGUUGCUUUUGAAAAGAACGCGCUGACUUGACGUCUGACUUGUCGCUGAAUUUAACUCACUUAGGACUAGUGGUCUAAGCAGUGUAAAUUUAUGCGACUGCGCUUACAGAAAAUGCUGCCUUGCAUAGCUGAAUUUUGUUUAUUAUAAGAAUUAUAGUACACUUAUAUGAGCCACCGAGCUCAGUAACGCGCCCGGUCAAAAAGGGGAAAUAUUGCUGAGUUUUAGACGUGUUAGUGCAUUGUGUACUGAGGUGUAUUUAUGAAAAGCAUAUGUCCACAGAAUGACUUGCGGGCUACAAGCACUGAUCUUUGACCCUUUUCUAGUCUUAGAAGUUUGCGGCACUCUUGUGUAGUUUUAGGCGUUAAUCAGAUUUUUAGUCCCGGUUCUGAAAUAAGUCUCUGUUAUAUAAAACAUCCGAAGUUAUAUGUAUUUAAGAGAGUAUUUUAAGUUAUAUUAUGUAAGAAUUGUGGUGAUCUAUAUUGUAUGUUUUUAGUUUCCAAACUUAAGUUUCGACCAAAGAUUGUUUAGUUCCCAAAGACUGUGCGGAAUUUUGAGGCGAUUUGCAGAGACCCUUAUCUUAUUGUAAAACUUGUGCUCUUUUCCGUUAUUUUACGUUUGUAUGUCUACCUUAUGUGCAUAGUAUAUAUUAUUUUGCGUUUAAGUUUAUAAUAGCUCAGGUUAGAAUUUUUGAUUGUCUUCAUAUACCAUAAGUAAUUUAUGCUAUGUCAUAUAUUUUCACUUGCCAAAUGUUAAAUAUCUCUAUAUGCAAUAAUUUGACUAGUUUGGACGAAUAAAAGAUUGUUCACUUUUAUAUAUAACUUA
rnacentral:misc_RNA from 1 species